CAGCCGCCGCGGGAAUACGAAGGGUGCAAGCGUUAAUCGGAAUUACUGGGCGUAAAGCGUGCGUAGGCGGUUUGUUAAGUCUGUUGUGAAAUCCCCGGGCUCAACCUGGGAAUGGCAAUGGAUACUGGCAAGCUAGAGUGUGUCAGAGGAUGGUGGAAUUCCCGGUGUAGCGGUGAAACGCGUAGAGAUCGGGAGGAACAUCAGUGGCGAAGGCGGCCAUCUGGGACAACACUGACGCUGAGGCACGAAAGCGUGGGGAGCAAACAGGAUUAGAUACCCCCGUAGUCCCUGUCUCUUAUAC
rnacentral:rRNA from 1 species